rnacentral:rRNA from 1 species
AGAGUUUGAUCAUGGCUCAGAUUGAACGCUGGCGGCGUGCUUAACACAUGCAAGUCGAACGAGAACGGUUUCCUUCGGGGAACUUAUUAAAGUGGCGCACGGGUGAGUAACGCGUAGAUAAUCUACCUUUAAGCUUGGGAUAACGGACCGAAAGGUCCCCUAAUACCAGAUACGCUCUUUUUAACAUAAGUUAAAAAGAAGAAAGAUGGCCUCUCCUUGGAAGCUAUUGCUUAUUGAUGAGUUUGCGUACCAUUAGCUAGUUGGUGGGGUAAGAGCCUACCAAGGCAACGAUGGUUAGCGGGUCUGAGAGGAUGAUCCGCCACACUGGAACUGAAACACGGACCAGACUCCUACGGGAGGCAGCAGUGAGGAAUUUUGCGCAAUGGGGGAAACCCUGACGCAGCGACGUCGCGUGGACGAUGAAGGCCUUAGGGUUGUAAAGUCCUGUCAGAAGGGAAGAAAUGGAUAUAGCCUAAUACGUUAUAUCCUUGACGGUACCUUCAAAGGAAGCACCGGCUAACUCCGUGCCAGCAGCCGCGGUAAUACGGAGGGUGCAAGCGUUAAUCGGAAUUACUGGGCGUAAAGGGCGCGUAGGCGGCCUAUCAAGUCAGGUGUGAAAUCCCACGGCUCAACCGUGGAGGUGCAUCUGAAACUGAUAGGCUUGAGUAUGGGAGAGGAAAGUGGAAUUCCCGGUGUAGAGGUGAAAUUCGUAGAUAUCGGGAGGAACACCAGUGGCGAAAGGCGANUUUCUGGACCAAUACUGACGCUGAGNCGCGAAAGCGUGGGGAGCAAACAGGAUUAGAUACCCUGNAGUCCACAGCUGUAACGAUGUCAACUAG